ACCAAGAGAGGUCCUGAGCAGAAAGUUUUCCUUGGAUGUAAUAUGGGUAGUUUGACAGUCGCAGCACCACAUUCCUUCUAGAACAUUCCGGGAUGCCCCCUUGGCUUUUGUCCACAGCGUAUCUUGACCGCCACAUCUUCUCGUGGUGUUACGGCUGUAAGUGAGAACUUUUAACCUGCCUCUUGCUAAAAAAAAAAAGUGAAAAAAAAUUGAGACAGUAGUUAAGCGGAUACUUUCGUUUUUGUGAAUCGGAACUUAAUUUCCCGGCUCUGUCUUUUUCCUUCGCUGUUUCUCCGCUCGACUACCCAGGUUUCACCCGGGCAAACCCAGAUCUGCGCCGGAGUGUUCCGUCACGAGAUGGUAAAACCGUUUUUUAGCUGUUCGCUUUUACGCCCGUGAGCUUAUAGGCGCUGCUGGUCAUGGACUCUCUUCUGAUGUUCAGCCAUACAUGAAGAAAGGGGCCGUCUCCCUCCUAAUGUAUUCCUCUGCCGAUAUUGUAUCGGAAAAAGAGAUGGAGGGCGGAUGAAAAAGAGAAUGUAAAUAAGAGCCUUUGGAGGCCGCCUGCUGCUGUAGCUUGCUUAUUGGAAGUCACGUGACACACCGCAAUGCCCAGCGGGGCCUUUCAACCAGCAAUCUGUGAAAAAUCCUAUUGGAACCAUUGUGCUUGGGCUCUGUACCAUAACCUGCAGCCCUGGAACAAUGCUGGACAGGAAGCCAUCUCUCCCGGCUCCGCGGAUCUAAUGUAAAUGGGGAAUCUUCCGGCCGAAAAUGCGGAGGAGCCCGGCCGGUUUCGUCUCUCUGCUUUCUUUCUUGCCUUCCUCCCUUUUUCCCUCUUUCCCCCCUCAAGCUCCGGCUUUUCGGACGGACAUUAUUUUCGCUGGUAAAUCGGAAGGCUUUUUCCCCGACUCUCCUGUGCGUUCAGCGGCAGGAUGGGACACAACGGCCGAGAUCUUUCCCGAUUUUGGGGGUUUUCUCCCCUCCUUUGUAUCGGCUAAUGGGAGUCACUCCUUUAGCAGAGACUGUGCAUGUGGUUAAUUGGGGAUGCGACUGUCCACUUCCUGGAACAGACGUCAGUGCUAAAGUGUUUCUUAAUAAUAUACAGCAGGAGUUGGGAAGAAGGAGAGAUUGUUCCGUUCGGAGUGAAGAAGCCGGUUGUUUUCGUCUUCGCAGGGCUGACGUUCCUGUGAGGAAGAGUCCGUCUACCCAGGGUUGUUUUUCUUCCUUUUAUUUGGGCUCUGACCGGGAUCCGGUUUCACCUCUUGAUACUGCACCUGUUUAAACACACAGACACCCCAGUCACGCUCAGGUGGAGGGAAGCCAGAGGAAUCCUGGGACAGUUUGGGAAUCUUCUGCUGUUCUCUCCAGCUGGGAUGAGGAAGCGCAGCUGAAAGGGACUCUGGACAAACAAACAGGAGCAUGAGAACGAGAGGAGUCCCGUUGAAGGGUCUUCCGGGAGCCACCCAGGCGACCCCUGGGGGUUUCUCCCGAAAGCCGGGUCACGACAAGGCCACUUGGUUCUGUGUUCCCGCUCCCUAAGAAAAAAUCCACAGUUGUUUGGAGAGAAGGUUCCAUUAUAAUAGCCGCUAUGACGGGCCUUUAGAGUCGCUUAGCUGUUACCUAGGCUAUGCUGGAUUGAGCUUUAAUGCAGAAAUAACCAUCAGUCCUUGACAGAUGCCCACCUGGCUUGCUGUGACGUUUCCAUGCCAUAUUCAAAUAUAAUGCAGUAACGACUCAAAUAAUCACACAGGCAUCUUCAGACGCUGAUCCCUGCUUUAUUACGGCCGUAUGUCAUUCCAUGUCUGUCGUUUGGCAUUGCAACAAUAGACAUGAAUUCCAACAGUAACUUCGGUUGAAGAACAAUGACAAGUACAAAGUUUGUUUUCAUAAUUUCUGUCAUCUGCACUUCCAGGUUUCAAUUACUUGUUUCUGGUUUUCUGAAGGCAUCUGCAGUAGUAUUGCAGGAGGCCCUGAACUAAGUCACCUUCCCAUUCAUACGCAUCAUGGCCAGUGGACAGAGGUGUGGUAUAGCUGGUCCCAAUUCAGUAUAAAAAGCCAGAUCUAGUCAUGAAAAAAUUCCAUGCAGGAAACCCACCCAAAAAAACUCUGAUUUCGAUAACACAAGUUUGCAGGAGCGACUUGGUUGAUGAAGCCGGACUCUGACCAUUAGGCCCCCUGGUCAAAACUUCCCAAACCCAUUUGAGCAGAAGAACUUCACAGAUACCAAUAAUGAUCUGUUCUGUACUGAGCACAUUAAAUGUCCAGAUGAUGGAAGUCACAAGAACGGGCAGGAGCAAAUAACAUCAAGAAGUCCAGUAAGAACUGGAAUAAGCACUGGGCUGCAGAGGAAAUGGCGAAGGUGUCACUUUACCUGGAAUGAACUAUCCUCAAUCAUCACUAGUUUCUUUGGGAUCUGUUUUUUUCACCAGCUGAAACUGGAAAUAUAUGGAAGAAAACAACUGGAAAUGAUAAAGUAACUGGACCCUGCACUUCAGCAGAUCUCUUGUGUAUUACACAUAUUUCUUUCCACUACGUUACAGUCAUCAAUGGUGCUAACAGUACUUUUUUUUUCUGGAAGAGUCCCCCCUCACCUCCUUUCCAGCAGCACCUCAGACAAACGUGUUAGUUUGUUAGUGAAAAAGCAACCACUGAACACCGUUGAUAGGAAGAAGAUGGAACAGGCACGCUCUUUUUAGUUCUUUUACCAGGAUGAGAAGUUAUCGCAGUUCUGCAGAAGUAACGAGCGCGCCCUUAAGGAGUAGCCGAUCGAAACCGUGGGUGACAGUGCUGUUUUGUUUUUUUUUUUUUGGACUUUAUAGCCCUGCCAACUAAAAUAGACACCGGAGCGAGAAGACAGGAGACGUGUUAUGCGGCUCCAUCUGUGCACACAAACCGGGCUCACAGAUGUUCAGCUCCUCUGUGGCCCCUGGUACGUGGGACAAUAGGAGGACUUACGCAAUCGCGUAGCAGGGUCAACCUGCGGAUCCUCAGUCAAGAGGCCCAUAAGGAUGAUGUCGUUUCUUUAGCUGCAAAUUAAAGUCUGAUUAGAGAAUACCGUAGUAAGCAACGAAUACGGACGCGGGCAUUUUGUCACUCGGAAUCUGCAGAAUGCUGAUACAUAGCAGGAUAAUAAGAUGGAGAUUCCAUGGCAUGUCAUUUCGCUCUUAUUGUGUGUAGGAAUGACCAAGGCAUGGGAUUCUGAGCUAAUGAGGAAUACAACUCCGAUUCCUCUAACGAACUCCAAAAAAACGGAGAAGCAAGGGAUCCGCCUGAAUUUCUGCGCUCUCCGCAUUUCAGGUUCCGCACGGUCGGUAAGGAAAAGCGCUGACGUGCCUUAAUUAGGCGGGAAAGCCGCGUUUGCCGUGGAUGGUCGGCCAGGCAGGUGCGACUCCAGUCGGCUAGAAGCGCCGCUUUCUCACGCUGUCAGAUGGGCUAAUUGACUUUCCAAGACAAGCCAUUCUGGCUGCUGCUAGCUUCUGUCGGCAUUUGUGUGAUUUUUUAGGAAAAUUUGUUCCUCUAUUGGUGAUUCUCUUUUUUUUACCAUUUUGGGUGGCAUAUUUGCAGGUGUAUUUUUGACAGAAUGAAUAAACUAAACCACAACACUGAAAACCUAACAAUGAAUAUCAUAUAUAACGUUACUACCAAAAUAUGUCCCAUUUUGAGGAAAAGUUCUAGUUGAAGACUUAAAAACAUUCCUGGUGUUACUGGAACCUCAGAUGACAAGUUCCUUAUACCUAAAGAGAACAAUAUUCAGCUAAUCUACAAUGGAAACCAAGAGAUUAAAGAUCUUUCUCCAAGGCUGCUGCACUCCCGCUUUAUCAUGGCAUGACAUCGUCAGCGUUUGAAGGUUUCAAGUACCCUGCCUUGUGAGAUGCUUCAGUAUAAUAGUAUUGGUUAAUGUUCCAGGUGUAGUAAAGCAUGUAUCUCUCAUUCUUCGAUGAGAACAUGGUUAAAAAUGGACUGCAUGUUCUCUGUAGUGAGUGAAUGAGACCAUGCAGAUACCAUAAUAAAAAAAUGGAAACUGUAAAA